CCUACGGGAGGCAGCAGUGAGGAAUAUUGGUCAAUGGACGAGAGUCUGAACCAGCCAAGUAGCGUGAAGGAUGACUGCCCUAUGGGUUGUAAACUUCUUUUAUAUGGGAAUAAAACGUUCCACGUGUGGGAUUUUGUAUGUACCAUAUGAAUAAGGAUCGGCUAACUCCGUGCCAGCAGCCGCGGUAAUACGGAGGAUCCGAGCGUUAUCCGGAUUUAUUGGGUUUAAAGGGAGCGUAGGUGGAUGGUUAAGUCAGUUGUGAAAGUUUGCGGCUCAACCGUAAAAUUGCAGUGGAAACUGGCAGUCUUGAGUACAGUAGAGGUGGGCGGAAUUCGUGGUGUAGCGGUGAAAUGCUUAGAUAUCACGAAGAACUCCGAUUGCGAAGGCAGUUCACUGUACUGCAACUGACACUGAGGCUCGAAAGUGUGGGUAUCAAACAGGAUUAGAUACCCGGGUAGUC
rnacentral:rRNA from 1 species